GCGGUGACGGAAGCGAGCCUGUUGCGCCAGUGCCCGCUGCUUCUGCCCCAGAACCGGUCGAAAACCGUGUAUGAGGGAUUCAUCUCGGCUCAGACUUGUGUAUGCGGAUACCUGCUUCAGUACCAUCAAGUUAAAAGCAGAAGAUGCUUCUGGUAGAGAGCAUUUAAUCACUCAAGUUGAAGGCAAAGUAUCCUGCAGAAUCACCAGAUUAUUUUGUGGAUUUUCCUGUUCCAUUUUGUGCUUCCUGGACACCUCAGAGCUCCUUAAUAAGCAUUUAUAGUCAGUUUUUGGCAGCAGUAGAAUCACUAAAGGCAUUCUGGGAUGUUAUGGAUGAAAUUGAUGAGAAGACCUGGGUACUUGAGCCAGAAAAACCUCCACGGAGUGCAACAGCACGCAGAAUUGCAUUAGGGAAUAAUGUUUCCAUAAAUAUAGAGGUAGACCCCAGGCAUCCUACUAUGCUUCCUGAGUGCUUCUUUCUUGGAGCUGACCAUGUGGUAAAACCCCUGGGAAUUAAGCUGAGCAGGAACAUACAUUUGUGGGAUCCAGAAAAUAGUGUAUUACAAAAUUUGAAAGAUGUUUUAGAAAUUGAUUUUCCAGCUCGUGCUAUCCUGGAAAAAUCUGAUUUUACUAUGGAUUGUGGAAUUUGCUAUGCUUAUCAACUUGACGGUACCAUUCCUGAUCAAGUGUGUGAUAAAUCCCAGUGUGGACAACCUUUCCAUCAAAUAUGCUUAUAUGAGUGGCUGAGAGGACUACUAACUAGUAGACAGAGUUUUAACAUCAUAUUUAGUGAAUGUCCAUAUUGUAGUAAGCCACUUACCUUAAAAAUAUCUGGAAGGAAACACUGAAAUAAGAAUAUAACAUUUCGGUGAAGAGCUG